AAAUACAACGUCGCCGCUGUAUGACGUCCUUCGUGGAGACGAUUCCGUAGCGGUCGCCUUCCCGUCUCAACAUGAGAGCCAAGUGGAGGAAGAAGCGCAUGCGCAGGCUGAAGCGCAAAAGGAGAAAGAUGAGGCAAAGGUCCAAGUAAACUGUCCCCUCCACCAUGGCCUUGAUAUCACGUUGCCAACCACUAGGCUGGUGAGCACAGCCGGAGAUCCGGGACCCUUCUGUAUCUGGUUUGAGUUGCAUCCACUACACCAACCAGUGGCAUCAGAGCAGCAGCUGACAACAGCUGAAGAAUUGAUUCUACACCUGCCUGAUGUCAGGCUUUUCCUCUGGAUAUUGUGGACUCUUUGCUUUCAAUUCCUCAACUUUUGUCAUUUGUUUUUGUUUAUACUGUGAUUAAAGGUUUUGGUUUACAAAAACUAAAGAA